rnacentral:lncRNA from 1 species
GGCCUAUCGGUGGGUAGGGCUGGGGAGGGAGGCUGAGCGAGUUCGGUACACACAGGUUACACGUGUUCGACUGAGUAAUAUAGGGGAGAAAAAAAAGAAGGAAAGAGAAUCCUUACAGGUGCCUGAAGCAGUCGAGACCAAAAAGAUUAGCCCUGAGCUAACUACUGCCAAUCCUCCUCUUUUUGCUGAGGAAGACUGGACCUGAGCUAACAUCCAUGCCCAUCUUCCUCUACUUUAUACGUGGGACGCCUACCACAGCAUGGCUUGCCAAGUGGUACCAUGUCUGCACCUGGGAUCCGAACCUGCGAACUCCAGGCCACCGAGAAGUGGAAUGUGCGAACUUAACCGCUGCACCACCAGGCCGGCCCUGACCAUAAUUUCUUCAAGUAUUCUUUCUGUACCUUUCUCUCCUCUACUCUCCUUCUAUGGUACAUUUGUAGGCAUAUCACAGGAGUGUAUGAGAGUUCCACUGGUACUGCUAUCAUAUCAUAUAGGGACAUUAGUCUUCUUCUGCACUUGGACUGAAACUUACACCAUCAGCUCUCCUGGUUCUCAGGCCUUCAGACUUGGACACAAACUAUACCACUGGCUAUCCUGGGCCUCCAGUUUGCAGACAGCAGAUUGUGGGACAUCUCAGCUUCCAUAAUUGCAUGAGCC